rnacentral:tRNA from 1 species
GUCAUUGAAGCAUUACGGUAAUGCGAUGGUCUUGUAAACCAUAGAUAAUUAGUUCAAUUCUAAUCUGUGACA